ACAAGGUUUCCGUAGGUGAACCUGCGGAAGGAUCAUUAUCUAUUCAUGAAAUACGGGAGUGCAACAGCCCUCUGGGGCUCCUUAAAUGGUGACCCCCCUGUGGACACGCCUCGUACUCUCAUUGAAAUCCCAUCUGUGUAUAUGACUUCUGUUGCUUCCCACAAAGCGGACGCUUGGGUGUAAAAUCCCUAGGGUUAGCCUGUGGGGAGGAAAUCAUAAACUCUGUUUGUUGUAUUGUUAGUCUGAGUGGUUAUCACAUAAAAUAAGUUAAAACUUUCAACAACGGAUCUCUUGGUUCUCGCAUCGAUGAAGAACGCAGCGAAAUGCGAUAAGUAGUGUGAAUUGCAGAAUUCAGUGAAUCAUCGAAUCUUUGAACGCACAUUGCGCCUUCUGGUAUUCCGGAAGGCAUGCCUGUUCGAGCGUCAUCAAACACAUCCUCAAGCAGCUUUGCUUGGUAUUGGAGGAAGAUGUCCGUAUCCCCUCUCAAAUCCCUCAGCGGAAACCUCUGCAGUCUCAGGUGUGAUAAUUAUUUUUCGCUUGAUGACUGUGGGUAUGUUCUUGCUGUUAAGAGCCCCCCAGCUUCUUUUUGCGUUUGACCUCGGAUCAGGUAGGGAUACCCGCUGAACUUAAGCAUAUCAAUAAGCGGAGGAAAAGAAACCAACAGGGAUUGCCCCAGUAACGGCG
rnacentral:rRNA from 1 species